UUGCUCACUUCAGCAGCACAUACACUAGAAUUGGAAUGAUACCGAGAAGAUUAGCAUGGCCCUGUGUAAGGAUGACACACAAAUUCAUGAAGUGUUCAAUAUUGUU